AAACAGAGGAACCUGAACUGGAUGGUGGGAAUCUUUCCGCACCACUGGGACAGCGAAACAAGCUGCCUUACCAAGAGAGGUCAAAAUCUCACUGAUCUCCUCCAUGACGUCUCUGUGCAGAGCUUUCUGGUCAGGCUCCAGCAGCACCCACUCGUCCUCAGUGAAAUGCACCUCCACGUCCACUAAGGGCACAGCAGCUGUUUUUCCUCCAUCAUCAAAAAGCUCCGGAGGCUGAAGCUGUCUUUCCCCAAUGACUCCAUCUCCUGUGACAGAAAGAGCAGGUCAAGAUCAUCAAACAUUUGCUUCGGACAACGUUUGUUUCCUAGCACAUGCCUGAACAAAAGCCCAUAGACACCAAUUUUUUUAAAAAAAUAACAACUACAGGGAGCACUUAACAGUUCGUUUAGUGACCGCUUGAAGUUACAACGGCCUUGGAAAAAGUGACCCAUGACCGUUUUUCACACUUUAUGGUGGCUGGAGCCUCCCCAUGGUCAUGUGACCGAAAUUCGGAUGCUUGGCAACGGUUUCAUAUAUAUGAGGACUGCAGUGUCCUACGGUCAUGUGAUCUGCUUUUGUGACAUUCUGACAAGCAAAGCCGAUGGGGUAGCCCGGUUCACUUCACAACCAGGUUGCUGACUUAAGAGCUGCAGUGAUUCGCUUAACCACAGUGGCAAGAAAGGUUGUAAAGGGGGGGCAAAGGUCACCUAACAUCUAUCUUGUUUAGCAACCAAAAAUGUUGGGCUCAACUGUGGUCAUAAGUUGAGGAUUAUCUGUAUCUGCCACCCCAACAUCCCUUAGCACUGAGCCAUGAAUGACAGGGCUGAUUCCCAUACAUAAAAAAUGUUGGAGGUGUUAAGCACUCAGGUUUAUGUAAAUAACGCUGUAGCCUGGAGACCGAGGUCUUUCCCCUUUCCUUAAAACCCUAGCCAAAUAUGCCCCAUAGUUCCUUACUUAGUG